GGCCAAUGACACAAAGUGAUUAAGAAUUUAAGCACCUACUGUAUACUGAGCAUCCCAAAUAUAAGGCAAAAAGCAGAACACCAGUUCCUGCCCACUAUCAGCUUGCCAUCCCCGGGAGAAAGCGGCAAAGUCUAUAAUACAUACAUACAAAGUCUAUAAUAAGUAAUGGUGGGGGAAGUAACUAAGGGUGCAGGAUGAAGAAGGAAUUGGAUGAGCCUUUAUAUAAUGAGUAAUGGUGGGGGAAGUAAUUGGGGGAGGGGGGAUCAGGAAGGUCUUGGAUGAGCCCUUAUAUAAUGAGUAAUGGUGGGGGAAGUAAUUGAGGGAGGAGGGAUCAGGAAGGUCUUAGAUGAGUCCUUAUAUAAUGAGUAAUGGUGGGGGAAGUAAUUGGGGGAGGGGGGAUCAGGAAGGUCUUGGAUGAGCCCUUAUAUAAUGAGUAAUGGUGGGGAAGUAACUGAGGGUGGGGGGGAUCAGGAAGGUCUUGGAUGAGCCCUUAUAUAAUGAGUAAUGGUGGGGGAAGUAAUUGGGGGAGGAGGGAUCAGGAAGGUCUUAGAUGAGUCCUUAUAUAAUGAGUAAUGGUGGGGGAAGUAACUGAGGGUGGAGGGGAUCAGGAAGGUCUUGGAUGAGCCCUUAUAUAAUGAGUAAUGGUGGGGGAAGUAACUGGGGGAGGGGGGAUCAGGAAGGUCUUAGAUGAGCCCUUAUAUAAUGAGUAAUGGUGGGGGAAGUAACUGAGGGUGGGGGGGAUCAGGAAGGUCUUAGAUGAGCCCUUAUAUAAUGAGUAAUGGUGGGGAAGUAACUGGGGGAGGGGGAAUCAGGAAGGUCUUAGAUGAGCCCUUAUAUAAUGAGUAAUGGUGGAGGAAGUAACUGGGGGAGGGGGAAUCAGGAAGGUCUUAGAUGAACCCUUAUAUAAUGAGUAAUGGUGGGGAAGUAACUGGGGGUGCGGGUCAGGAAGGUCUUGGAUGAGUCCUUAAGAUGAGAUGGAAAGAAAUCUGAGGAGGGAAUGAAUUCCAGACUUGGAAAUGGGAGAUGAAAUGUUAGGUGCCAGAACAGCCUGUAUGGAGUCUGUGAGACUACAGGCCCUAUGGCUGAAAUGCAGACGUCCAUCAGGCUCCAGAAACAGGCUGGAAGCAGACUGAGGGGCUUGAAAGGCCAGUCGGCGAAGUCUGACCACAGCAGAUCUCUCGCUCUCUCUUGUUCUGGCAAAAACGAGCAGCCGACAACAUCCAGACCUGGAAUAGUUUGGGGGGUGUCAGGGG